rnacentral:rRNA from 1 species
UGGCGGCGUGGAUAAGACAUGCAAGUCGAACGGGAGAAUUGCUAGCUUGCUAAUAAUUCUCUAGUGGCGCACGGGUGAGUAACACGUGAGUAACCUGCCCCCAAGAGUGGGAUAGCCCCGGGAAACUGGGAUUAAUACCGCAUAAAAUCGCAAGAUUAAAGCAGCAAUGCGCUUGGGGAUGGGCUCGCGUCCUAUUAGUUAGUUGGUGAGGUAACGGCUCACCAAGGCGAUGACGGGUAGCCGGUCUGAGAGGAUGUCCGGCCACACUGGAACUGAGACACGGUCCAGACACCUACGGGUGGCAGCAGUCGAGAAUCAUUCACAAUGGGGGAAACCCUGGUGGUGCGACGCCGCGUGGGGGAAUGAAGGUCUUCGGAUUGUAAACCCCUGUCAUGUGGGAGCAAAUUAAAAAGAUAGUACCACAAGAGGAAGAGACGGCUAACUCUGUGCCAGCAGCCGCGGUAAUACAGAGGUCUCAAGCGUUGUUCGGAAUCACUGGGCGUAAAGCGUGCGUAGGCGGUUUCGUAAGUCGUGUGUGAAAGGCGGGGGCUCAACCCCCGGACUGCACAUGAUACUGCGAGACUAGAGUAAUGGAGGGGGAACCGGAAUUCACGGUGUAGCA